rnacentral:rRNA from 1 species
GUGUCAGCAGCCGCGGUAAUACGUAGGGGGCAAGCGUUGUCCGGAAUUAUUGGGCGUAAAGCGCGCGCAGGCGGUUCAUUAAGUUUGGUGUAUAAUCCCGGGGCUCAACCCCGGGCCGCACUGAAAACUGGUGGACUUGAGUGCGGGAGAGGAAAGUGGAAUUCCACGUGUAGCGGUGAAAUGCGUAGAGAUGUGGAGGAACACCAGUGGCGAAGGCGACUUUCUGGACCGUAACUGACGCUGAGGCGCGAAAGCGUGGGGAGCAAACAGGAUUAGAUACCCCUGUAGUCC